rnacentral:rRNA from 1 species
CAAGCGUGGAGCAUGUGGUUUAAUUCGAAGCAACGCGAAGAACCUUACCAGGUCUUGACAUCCCGAUGCUAUUUCUAGAGAUAGAAAGUUACUUCGGUACAUCGGUGACAGGUGGUGCAUGGUUGUCGUCAGCUCGUGUCGUGAGAUGUUGGGUUAAGUCCCGCAACGAGCGCAACCCCUAUUGUUAGUUGCCAUCAUUCAGUUGGGCACUCUAGCGAGACUGCCGGUAAUAAACCGGAGGAAGGUGGGGAUGACGUCAAAUCAUCAUGCCCCUUAUGACCUGGGCUACACACGUGCUACAAUGGUUGGUACAGACGGACGCAAAGCCGCGAGGUGGAGCAAAUCCUAAAAAGCCGGUCUCAGUUCGGAUUGCAGGCUGCAAUUCGCCUGCAUGAAGUCGGAAUCGCUAGUAAUCGCAGGUCAGCAUACUGCGGUCGAAUACGUUCCCGGGCCUU